UCCCGGACACAUUUAGCGAACAGCGCGC
rnacentral:sRNA from 1 species